UACAUGAACUACCGGGCAGAUUCAUCUGUAGUGAACAUCAUUACAUGAACUACCGAUUACAUGAACUACCGGGCAGAUUCAUCUGUAGUGAACAUCAUUACAUGAACUACCGGGCAGAUUCAUGUAACUAGAUGACCUUAUGAAUUGAUUGUAUUAUCACUUAUAUUAGUCUUGCAUUAUCUUUAUCGAUUAUAUUAGCCUUAAAUACCGAUUAUAUUAUCAAAUGUACAAUGUAUGUGAGUGAUGCAGGCCUGUGGAAUCGCACUGAUCAUAUUUAGUCAUUUUAGCUGAUGAAAUUAUGUAAGUCCACAUUGCAAACAAAUACAUAAAGGUCAUCAUGUUUUGUACGACCUUUAUGAGUAAAACUCGCGAUACUGUUAUUCCAGUACCUGCAUCACCCAUAGAUGAUUGGCAGUUGGGAGAGUUUUGUUACCGAAAAUGUACACUACUGCAGUUGCGUUUAUUAUAGCGCAUUAGUGUCAAUAAUGCUGAUCACGUACCCAUUUAAUAUAUAUACACGUUUGUAAAUUUGUCAAGACGAGAAGAGAAUAGAACCUGGUAUUGUAUCUGAAUGUUGCGGAGUUUGUGUUAGAAAUAAACUCUGAAAACAACGCGAGUUGAGUAUGAUUAAGACUUCGUUGGUAGAAGUCUGGGUAAUAAGACUUUGUUAGUAUGAGUCUUCAAGUUAAGACUUCGUUGGUAGAAGUCUUAAACAAAUAAUCCGGUUACAGAGGGAUUAUUUUUGGUGCCGUCUUGACCAGGAUUACGGAAGCAGAGUAAGGACAGGACAGGAAGCAGACUUUAAAAAACAAUUGCAGUUAAGAUACACCAGCAACAACGUUGUAGGUCAACAAUAAACAAAAAGUUUAAGUGUUCCAAAGUAAGAGAUCCUAGAAUCACACUUCAGAAAAUCAGCUACUUAUACAUUUAGAUGGAAUGUAUCCUUACAUUUCAACUUUUCCUGACACUCUUUGGAUGAAAUAUAUGAUCUCUUCGGGGGUAUACACCUGACAAUGAGGGACAUAAAGAGAAGCUUUCGAAUAAAUUCUGCCUCAUAAGAAUAUAGAAAGACGCCAGCCAACAAAGGAGCACAAUUCAUGCCAAUGGGAAUUCCAACAGACUAUUGGAAGACCAGAUAACCAAAGACUACAAAGAUAUUGUCAACGAGUGACUUCAGCAUCUUUUUGCCAUCAACUUCAGAGUAGAAUCAGAGUGGUGUUUAACAAAGUAAUUUUAUGAAUGGCUGAUCACUAGGUAUGAAUGAAAAGGUGAAAAUGCUGAGAUAGCAAACAGUAAUAUUUCCUUUUUAAAAAUUGUUGAUGAAAACGCUUAAGAUUUUCAAGAAAACUUGGAAUUUAUAGACAAUUUUGCAUCUAUUUGACAUUUUCAAAAUAGAGAUUUGAAAGUUAAUAGCCACGCUAUCUGGAAAAUUAUGAUUUUGAGAUGAUAAAUCGCUCCUUUUCCUAUAUAUAACCCUGAAUUAAUUAUAUCGUUAAUAUUGAUGAUGGGGGCGUUAACAAACAAGCUUAUAUUUGUAUAUCUCUGUCUCAUGUAUUCCUUUUCUACAAAUAUUGUCUGGCAUGUUAACAUGGCCUUUUAACGCCCCCUUUUCUGACCUUUUCGAAGUUGUACAUAUGUUUGAGUCUAUUUUUUAUAUGCCAAAUAUACCAUAAUUUUUCACUAGUCAUAAUAAUGUCAGAUGACACAUUUUUUGUUCUCAGAUGCUAAUUUUGAGAUGUGGCAAUUUGUCAUUAUACAUUGUCUGUACAUUUUACUUGUAUGUAACUUUUACUUAUAUUUGAAUCCUAGUUUGUGUUCCAUUUACUGUCAUUUAUUGUAUAUGUAAUAAAUGACCUAUUUUAUUC